rnacentral:rRNA from 1 species
GGGCCCGCACAAGCAGUGGAGUAUGUGGUUUAAUUCGAAGCAACGCGAAGAACCUUACCAGGUCUUGACAUCCCGUGCAUAGCUUAGAGAUAAGUGAAGCCCUUCGGGGCACGGAGACAGGUGGUGCAUGGUUGUCGUCAGCUCGUGUCGUGAGAUGUUGGGUUAAGUCCCGCAACGAGCGCAACCCUUACUGAUAGUUACUACGCAAGAGGACUCUAUCGGGACCGCCGUUGACAAAACGGAGGAAGGUGGGGAUGACGUCAAAUCAUCAUGCCCUUUAUGACCUGGGCUACACACGUACUACAAUGGCAGUUAACAAAGGGGACCGAGGCCGCGAGGCCAAGGAAAUCCCAAAAAGCUGUCUCAGUUCGGAUUGUAGGCUGCAACUCGCCUAUAUGAAGUCGGAAUUGCUAGUAAUCGCGGAUCAGCAUGCCGCGGUGAAUACGUUCCCGGGCCUU